rnacentral:rRNA from 1 species
UACGGAGGAUGCGAGCGUUAUCCGGAUUUAUUGGGUUUAAAGGGUGCGUAGGCGGAUCGUUAAGUCAGUGGUCAAAUUGGGGGGCUCAACCCCUUCCCGCCAUUGAAACUGGCGCUCUUGAGUGGAAGAGAAGUAUGCGGAAUGCGUGGUGUAGCGGUGAAAUGCAUAGAUAUCACGCAGAACCCCGAUUGCGAAGGCAGCAUGCCGGCUUCCGACUGACGCUGAAGCACGAAAGCGUGGGGAUCGAACAGG